AAAAGCGCAUGUGCUGUGAGCUCGAUGAGUAGGGCGGGACACGUGGUAUCCUGUCUGAAUAUGGGGGGACCAUCCUCCAAGGCUAAAUACUCCUGACUGACCGAUAGUGAACCAGUACCGUGAGGGAAAGGCGAAAAGAACCCCGGCGAGGGGAGUGAAAAAGAACCUGAAACCGUGUACGUACAAGCAGUGGGAGCACAGGUUUACCUGUGUGACUGCGUACCUUUUGUAUAAUGGGUCAGCGACUUAUAUUCUGUAGCAAGGUUAACCGAAUAGGGGAGCCGGAGGGAAACCGAGUCUUAAUUGGGCGUUAAGUUGCAGGGUAUAGACCCGAAACCCGGUGAUCUAGCCAUGGGCAGGUUGAAGGUUGGGUAACACUAACUGGAGGACCGAACCGACUAAUGUUGAAAAAUUAGCGGAUGACCUGUGGCUGGGGGUGAAAGGCCAAUCAAACCGGGAGAUAGCUGGUUCUCCCCGAAAGCUAUUUAGGUAGCGCCUCGUGAAUUCAUCUCCGGGGGUAGAGCACUGUUUCGGCUAGGGGGCCAUCCCGGCUUACCAACCCGAUGCAAACUGCGAAUACCGGAGAAUGUUAUCACGGGAGACACACGGCGGGUGCUAACGUCCGUCGUGAAGAGGGAAACAACCCAGACCGCCAGCUAAGGUCCCAAAGUCAUGGUUAAGUGGGAAACGAUGUGGGAAGGCCCAGACAGCCAGGAUGUUGGCUUAGAAGCAGCCAUCAUUUAAAGAAAGCGUAAUAGCUCACUGGUCGAGUCGGCCUGCGCGGAAGAUGUAACGGGGCUAAACCAU
rnacentral:rRNA from 1 species